ACCAGCCGUUGGAUAUUCGUUCGAAUCGUAUACAUGUGCCGAUCGCGUGCACUAGGUUUUUUCGUUCGUCCGCCCGACUGGAUUUUAUACUGCGUUACAGCCAUGUAAUUGAGUGAUAAACGUCGUGUUAGUCAAAAUGAACGCAUAUCUCGUUAUUUGAGAUUCUUUGUGAUGCUUCCCAUUCUUCUCAACGUCUGCUCGCUUAAUUUCUGACACGGGACGCUUCGACAGAGUUCUUUAUCCCUCUUCGAAUGCUAAAUUCGAACCUAUUCACUCAGCCUCUCACAAAGAUUAUACCGUUUAGUGCAUCAUCACUGCCUAGAAAGAUUUAUCUAACAAUGUUGUCGGUAUCACCAACAUUCAGUCAAAAUUAGCAAACGUUCUCGUAGAUGGUAUGAAGGGCACCGUGCGAUUAACAGCUGCGGAUGGAAUUAAAAAUGGUGUAAUUAAUUAUCAUUUUUUUAAAGCUGCCGUAACAAUCUGUAUUGCACAGACAUAUAACAGUUACAAAAUUAUCUUUAAUCUAGCUCACUUGAAAUAAGGCUCAAUCACGGAUCAAUUUAUGAUUCUGAAUACAGCCCUAGGUGUUUGAAUAUUGAAGGGAGACACAGACACAUCUUAUAAAUGUGAUUAUUUCUAUGCAUCAUGCUAUGCGUGUUGUAACAACUGUUUACUACUGCAUUCAUCACUUUUGUUAAAUUUAAUAUUUUAAAUGACAAAUCUGUGAAAAGUUUAAAGUUGUAGUAUAUGUUAAUUAUGUGUUUUUUUAAUGCAAUUAUUUACACGUUUAUAUUUGUUAAUGGUGUGUAAAGACACUUUUAAUUUUUAAUUCUUUUCUAUUCAUGUCAUCAAAUGUAUCUUUACCGAGAGUUGGUGAUGCCAAGAAUAUUGUAAAUAUAUCUCUUUGAAUGAUGAUAAUGCAUUAGGUGUUUGAAUACUGAAAAAAUAAUGUGUUAACGAUAAAUUACAGUAGUGCAUAAAAAUGUCACGUUCCGGAGGUCGAAUCUUCCGAUUCCGCGCGUACCUCGGUCACGAAGAAAAGGGGUGCUCUCUUUUUGAGUUUACUUGCUGGGCUGGCAAUAACUCGGAAUGUCGAAAGCUAGGCUUGAUGUGAGAAAAGUGUUUAGACACGGACACUAAGGGGACAAUUGGUCGUCUAAUAUUUAUUGAGAGUUAGGUAAGUUUCCAAAAAGCUUCCUGGUGGGGCUAAUUCUCCAAAAUUUAUUAUAUUACUUGUGGGAGAUUUUGGGCAUGAUUCUGAAUUUUCUAAGUUUACUGGGGUUACUGAGGACCUUGCUGAUUCGGUAGUUGGUACUAUUUGAACUGACUGUUUCCUUAUAGAAACCAAAAGAGGUGAAGCAGUAGGAGGAGCUACGGGAAUUAUCCUCGUAGUCUGAAGAGACUCUGGCGACUUUAUACAAACUUUAUCUUUUCGCGCAAUUAUUAAUUGAGGUUCGGUGGGAUGAUAAAAUUUAAAUAUCGUAUUUUCAAAAUUAAAUGAGCCUGUGGCAAGUGCAGUUAUGAUUAUUCGUAAGCAUUCGUUAUUUGUUUCAAGGAUGUGAUUACGUAAUAUACUAGGAAUUUUCUCGUCUACGUCUCUGAUUUUGUUAACAAAAUUCUUUUGCGUUUUAAAGAAGUGAUAGUUUUGGAUCUAACGAGGCGGUGGAUUUACAUGAACUUGGAUGGGUCAUGUAAAUGUAACGCAUUUAAUCUAGCUGAUAAGGAGUGAGCACGGAAGUAAAAGAAAUUGACAUCAAUAAUCGUUGGUUAAAAAUAGUUCACACAAUAUUAAUUCUCAUUAUUAUACACGUAAGCAUGAUCGGGGAUAAUAGAAGAUUUAAUGUGCAUAAAACAUUGGUUAAUGCCACUACGAUUACGAAUUGAACAAGCUACAGACAUUACAAUUGCAACAAGUUCCAUCACUAGUUAACAGUUUCUGAUUUGUGCCUUCACUUUCCUGGCCUCGUCGUUCAAUAUAUCUUUUAAUACUGAGAACGAUGUUCGCUUUUGCACAGCUGACCUGAAAUAAUUCAAUUCUGGGCUUUACCUUUAAUAUUACAUAUUUUCUGUCAGUAUAUCAAUCUGGAACUGUUAACUGGUGAUAAAAUAAAAACAUCAAUAUCAA
rnacentral:lncRNA from 13 species